GCCUGGUGGUUCCUUGAGACGGCUCAUCCGUGCUGAUACUUGAGGUUAUAUUUGACAGGCACAUAUUGAUCUCUGUGAUUAAUGCUUGGAAGCUGCCGAUUUCAUGCGUCUUCCAUAGCCCGGUUGCAGAGACAUGA